AUUGAACGCUGGCGGCAUGCCUUACACAUGCAAGUCGAACGGUAACAGGGAGCUUGCUCCGCUGACGAGUGGCGAACGGGUGAGUAAUGUAUCGGAACGUACCUUUUAGUGGGGGAUAACGUAGCGAAAGUUACGCUAAUACCGCCUAUUCUCUGAGGAGGAAAGCAGGGGACCUUCGGGCCUUGCGCUAAUAGAGCGGCUGCUAUCAGAUUAGCUAGUUGGUGAGGUAAAGGCUCACCAAGGCGACGAUCUGUAGCGGGUCUGAGAGGAUGAUCCGCCACACUGGAACUGAGGCACGGGCGAGACUCCUACGGGAGGCAGCAGUGGGGAAUUUUGGACAAUGGGGGCAACCCUGAUCCAGCCAGGCCGCGUGGGUGAAGAAGGCCUUCGGGUUGUAAAGCUCUUUCGGCCGGGAAAAAAUCGCAUGGGUUAAUACCCUGUGUGGAUGAUGGUACCGGAAUAAGAAGCACCGGCUAACUACGUGCCAGCCGCCGCGGUAAGAC
rnacentral:rRNA from 1 species